UGGCUCAGAACGAACGCUGGCGGCGUGGAUAAGACAUGCAAGUCGAACGGGAACCUUAGAGCUUGCUUUGGGGUUCUAGUGGCGGACGAGCGAGUAACACGUGAGCAACCUGCCCGAAAGUGGGGGAUAGCCCGGGGAAACUCGGAUUAAUACCGCGCAUCCUGCUAAGAUUAAAGGUGGCUUCGGCUGCCGCUUUUGGAUGGGCUCGCGGCCUAUCAACUUGUUGGUGAGGUAACGGCUCACCAAGGUUACGACGGGUAACUGGUCUGAGAGGACGACCAGUCGCGCUGGAACUGAGACACGGUCCAGACACCUACGGGUGGCAGCAGUCGAGAAUCAUUCACAAUGGGCGAAAGCCUGAUGGUGCGACGCCGCGUGGAGGAUGAAGGUCUUAGGACUGUAAACUCCUGUCAUCAGGGAGUAAAGCUCAGGCGUUAAUAGCGUCUCGAGCCUGAUAGUACCUGAAGAGGAAGGGGCGGCUAACUCCGUGCCAGCAGCCGCGGUAACACGGAGGCCCCGAGCGUUGUUCGGAAUUACUGGGCGUAAAGGGUGCGUAGGCGGUAAGGAAAGUCAGUUGUGAAAGCCCGGGGCUCAACCUCGGAAUUGCAGCCGAUACUGCCUUACUAGAGGACUGGAGAGGAGAUUGGAAUUCACGGUGUAGCAGUGAAAUGCGUGGAUAUCGUGAGGAACACUAGUGGCGAAGGCGAGAUGCUGGACACCUACUGACGCUGAGGCUCGAAGGCCAGGGUAGCGAAAGGGAUUAGAUACCCCUGUAGUCCUGGCAGUAAACGGUGCACGUUUGGUGUGAGAAGGUUCGACCCUUUUCGUGCCGGAGUUAACGCGUUAAACGUGCCGCCUGGGGAGUACGGCCGCAAGGCUAAAACUCAAAGAAAUUGACGGGGACCCGCACAAGCGGUGGAGUAUGUGGCUUAAUUCGAUGCAACGCGAAGAACCUUACCUGGGCUUGACAUGCAUCUCUAAAACGGAGAAACCCGUGGAGUGGAGCAAUCCACAAUUUGCACAGGUGCUGCAUGGCUGUCGUCAGCUCGUGUCGUGAGAUGUUGGGUUAAGUCCCGCAACGAGCGCAACCCCUGUGAUUAGUUACCAGCACAUAAUGGUGGGGACUCUAGUCAGACUGCCCAGAUCAACUGGGAGGAAGGUGGGGACGACGUCAAGUCAGUAUGGCCCUUACGCCCAGGGCUGCACACGUACUACAAUGCCCAGUACAAUGUGAUCCGAUCCUGUAAAGGGGAGGUAAUCCUGAAAACUGGGCUCAGUUCGGAUUGUGGGCUGCAACUCGCCCACAUGAAGCCGGAAUCGCUAGUAAUGGCGCAUCAGCUACGGCGCCGUGAAUACGUUCCCGGGUCUUGUACACACCGCCCGUCACAUCAUGGAAGCCGAUUGCUCCCGAAGUAUCUGUGCCAACCUCGUGAGGCAGGGUCCUAAGGAGCGGUUGGU
rnacentral:rRNA from 1 species